ensembl:snRNA U5 U5 spliceosomal RNA
AUACUCUGGUUUUUCUUCAAAACGCAUAAAUCUUUCGCCUUUUACUAAAGAUUUCCGUGGAGAGAAACAAUUCUGAGUCUUGCCAAUUUUUUGAGGCCUUGCUUUGGGCAAGGCU